rnacentral:rRNA from 1 species
CGUUCCUACGGGGGGCAGCAGUGAGGAAUAUUGGUCAAUGGGCGGGAGCCUGAACCAGCCAAGUCGCGUGAGGGAAGACGGUCCUAUGGAUUGUAAACCUCUUUUGUCGGGGAGCAAAGAGACCACGUGUGGUCAAAAGCGAGAGUACCCGAAGAAAAAGCAUCGGCUAACUCCGUGCCAGCAGCCGCGGUAAUACGGAGGAUGCGAGCGUUAUCCGGAUUUAUUGGGUUUAAAGGGUGCGUAGGCGGGACGGUAAGUCAGCGGUAAAAAUCCGUGGCUCAACUCCGUCGAGACGUUG